GGCAGAGGCCAGCUCUUCAAGCUAUUUACCUGGGCUGGAGAGACCUUUGGAAGAUGGCUCGGAUAAGUGGAAUUUGAAUAAGGCCUUAAGAACAGUAGAAUUUAAGCUGGAUUGUGGGCUUAGGGGACUUCGGAAGCUUUAAGAGAAAGCAGGUUCCCAUAAGGUUCAAAGGUUGUGUAACUAUCCAGAAACACACGAUAGAGUCCUCUUUCAGCAAGUAUUCUUGGUUAAGUCAUGAAAAUGGAAUUGGAGCUUGUUUUUCCCCUUUGUAUGAUUUUGCACGGCAGUUUUUAACUUCUAACAUGCCUUUGGAAUUAUAAGCAUCCUUUUCCUGAAGACUAGGUUUUUCAAAGUAUGUGCAUAUUAACAGACUGAUCUUGCCAACCCAACUGGGAGAUUACUAAAAUAUGGAGCAAAGCUUUUCUAAUACUGAAGAACAAAGUAUAGUAAU